rnacentral:lncRNA from 1 species
AAAAAAAGCAUAGAGAAAGCCAGAGACAACAGAGACACACAUAAGCAGCCGGGAAUCAAAUCAACCACGAGGCCAGACUCGACUCACAACAGCCAAACCCUCAAGCCAGAAUUACGCCGAGAGCCAACAACAUCACAGACUACCAGCAUCAAGGGAACAACGCCGUACAUCAACCGGACACAUCACAGAGCCGUCACCAACCACAACUACAACACAUCUGUUGCCGUCACAAACAACAGCAAACAACCAAGUUCAUCCAAAGGUAAAAAGGGUGGUAAUUUACGUUUUU